AUGAGGCGUCCAAAAAAGAUGAGAAGCAGGUUGAUAUACGUUACUGGUGAGAUGGACUUGCAGAAAAAAAGGUGAAUAAUGCGGCACAGAGUCACCCUUUGGUGGCUCACUUACAUCUGAAUCAAGCAUUUACAUUGUGGACACAUUAGGUGCAGAGGUUAUUUUGCCAGGGAAACAACACAUCUUCGACUGUGUACUGACUACACUAUUGCCUGCUUACAUAAGCAGCGCAACGGAUUACCUUU
rnacentral:lncRNA from 1 species